CUUGCAUAAAUAUAAGAGGUCCAGCCUGCCCAGUGACUUUGUUCAACGGCCGCGGUAUCCUAACCGUGCGAAGGUAGCGUAAUCACUUGUUCUUUAAAUGAGGACUAGUAUGAAUGGCACCACGAAGGUUACACUGUCUCCUUUAUCUAAUCAGUGAAACUAAUCUUCCCGUGAAGAAGCGGGAAUAAAAAUAUAAGACGAGAAGACCCUAUGGAGCUUUAAACACACUAAUAAUUGCCUUACCCACGCCACUUCCAGAAAAACAACUAAGAUCCAGGCAUUAUAAUUACAAGUUUUAGGUUGGGGUGACCACGGAGCAUAGCAAAACCUCCGUAAUGGACGGGAAUUUCCCCCUAAACCAAGGGCCACAGCCCCAAGAAUCAAUAAAUUGACAUCUAUUGACCCAAUACAUUUGAUCAAUGAAC
rnacentral:rRNA from 1 species